rnacentral:rRNA from 1 species
UACGUAGGGGGCAAGCGUUGUCCGGAAUUAUUGGGCGUAAAGCGCGCGCAGGCGGUUCAUUAAGUUUGGUGUUUAAGCCCGGGGCUCAACCCCGGUUCGCACUGAAAACUGGUGGACUUGAGUGCAGGAGAGGAAAGCGGAAUUCCACGUGUAGCGGUGAAAUGCGUAGAGAUGUGGAGGAACACCAGUGGCGAAGGCGGCUUUCUGGACUGUAACUGACGCUGAGGCGCGAAAGCGUGGGGAGCAAACAGG